UUUCAUAAAAUAGGGUGCAGGUGUUUCUCAUCCCGUACAAUAUAAGAUUUUCAUUUGUACGUCUUCGGGCUUUUGGAUAAAUGAGAGCGCGCAUAUUCAUGAUGAAAGAUUCUUGACGCUAGAUACUGACUAAUUUACAUAACAAACAAAAUUAAAUUGUAUCCUACGAUAGUACAUCUGUCUACUAUAGUUCGUACGAAUGUGUCAUUUGCAUAGAAACUCAUAGACAGGUCAUCUAUGAACUCGUAGACGUAGUAAAGAUUAAAAAACGGACAUUCUGAAAAUGCAAUCACUGUUAGAAAGAAAACGUUAGUUACAUUCACGCUAUUAAAUACAGUCUCAAUGUGGUGACGAGGUAUCUAUUACUAUAUAUUGUAAAACAGUCCUGUGUUCUAUAAAAAUCGUAACAGAUGACCCUAGAUUCUCGCUACCGCGCUCAACGAUUCUCCUACCGGAUGGCAUUCCUACAAGCUCUCUAUAUGGAGCCAAGGAGUUGCAUCCUUCAAUUAGGCUUCACUUAGGCUUUAGAAAAGUUCGUGCGGGUUUAAAAGGUUUAAUAAUUGUCACACACAGUAGGAUAGACUCCUUUGGCACCUUCUCCCAACUCUAAGGCCAGUUGUGCCCUUCUUAUAAAAGUUUGGGUUCCGGUACUUUAAAAAAUAAGCUCACUUUCCAGCUGUCGGCGGUUAUCGAACUCCCGAUUGUGCAUAUGAUUGUCUAUCACUAAGGAAAGAUGAAAGUCAGAUGGGGCCUGGUGAAGGUACUACAGAAGUUAACGAGUGCAGAUUGCUUAUGGACCAGGGUAAGUACUCAUAGUUGGCUAGAGUAUAUUUCUGCGGUGAGGGUCUGGCAACGUGGCAGUUAACAGUGCACUGCCUGCUGUACUCCACCAAACACAAAGCAUAUCCUUUCCUUGAUGAAUAUUUGGAUUUUGCGACAGUGGUACAGGGUUAUUUAGUGACUACCAAUGGUGGCCUCCUGGUGUUACUAUACAAGAUCCAUUGUUCAUCGCAUGUGACAAUCCGAUCAAACAACAUUUCUACUUUGUACAGUGAAAGUAAUGAAAGGCAAAUGUUUAUACACAGUAGCUUGUUACAGUCGGUCAAUUUGCUCAACCCAUUUGCUCAGGUUCCAUGUAUUCCCAAGUGAAUGUGAGCUAGAGUGAAUUUCUGCAAUUCGUUCUCUCAGGUCUUCUUGGUACCCUAGGUGAGGUCGCCAUUGCGUGAAUGCUUCACAUCCAAAAAUAUGGGUGAUAGUUUCUUCCUCCUAAUUGCAUACAUACAAAUGGGGUCAUUAUUGAAUAUACCCAUGUUGAGUAGGUGGACUGCUCCAACGUUGUUUCUUCUAUGCCUUUGAUCUGUUUGGCUCGAAUCAAGUACCAUGGCUUACCUCAAUUUGUCGUCAUUCAAGACAGGUAUACCAGAACCAGAGAACUAAAAUAAUGACAAACAAUACAGAAAUAGAAUCAAAGUUGUUAGUACUGAGAUAGAAUACACAAGAUAAUUCAAGUAUCUCAACCUCAGCUUUAAAGACAAAAAUCUAAAAAUUAGAGAUAAGAUCGUAAAGCACUGAUUCUACUAACAUGCAUGCACUUGCCCAUUCAAGGCACAGGAUGAAUAGAUGAAAAGCUGGGAAUUACACAUGAAAAAAUGUCAAGGAGCAUUCUGGGUAUAAAGAAGAUAGACGAGGUCAGUGACGAGAAACUACCGGAAGCACAUGCAGCAAAUGAAACUGGGCAGGCCACAUAGCAUGAAUUAAUGACACAAGAUCAGCAAGAAUAAGCCAGUAAAGUAACCUUGUUGCAUUUUCCUAGAGCCUUUAGGCAAUUUAGGUUAUCCAGACUAGUUUUGAUUAGGGGUGUUGGUCAGUGAGUCGGUGAACUUUUAACAGACCUAAUUAGUGAUCCUAUACCAGUUCAGCAUGUUUUCCAGUCUAGUAUGGAGCUAACAGCUAAAUAUCACACCAAGAUGACAAAUAUUUUAAUAAUUAGAUAUAAAAGAUGCUUAUUUUAAAUUUUGUUAGAAAUACAGCAAGAAUGCACUUAUUUAUUUUUCUAAGCCUAUAGUCCCUCAUUCCACCCCAUAAUAGAUAUACAAAAUAUAUAACACAACUAACUUUGAUAUAUUUUUAACAAAUUGAACUUCUUAAAAAAUAAUAAAUAU
rnacentral:lncRNA from 1 species